rnacentral:rRNA from 1 species
GACGAACGCUGGCGGCGUGCCUAAUACAUGCAAGUUGAGCGCUGAAGGUUGGUACUUGUACCAACUGGAUGAGCAGCGAACGGGUGAGUAACGCGUGGGGAAUCUGCCUUUGAGCGGGGGACAACAUUUGGAAACGAAUGCUAAUACCGCAUAAAAACUUUAAACACAAGUUUUAAGUUUGAAAGAUGCAAUUGCAUCACUCAAAGAUGAUCCCGCGUUGUAUUAGCUAGUUGGCGAGGUAAAGGCUCACCAAGGCGAUGAUACAUAGCCGACCUGAGAGGGGGAUCGGCCACAUUGGGACUGAGACACGGCCCAAACUCCUACGGGAGGCAGCAGUAGGGAAUCUUCGGCAAUGGACGAAAGUCUGACCGAGCAACGCCGCGUGAGUGAAGAAGGUUUUCGGAUCGUAAAACUCUGUUGGUAGAGAAGAACGUUGGUGAGAGUGGAAAGCUCAUCAAGUGACGGUAACUACCCAGAAAGGGACGGCUAACUACGUG